rnacentral:rRNA from 1 species
AUUGAACGCUGGCGGCAGGCUUAACACAUGCAAGUCGAGCGGGGUGAUGGUGCUUGCACUAUCACUUAGCGGCGGACGGGUGAGUAAUGCUUAGGAAUCUGCCUAUUAGUGGGGGACAACAUCUCGAAAGGGAUGCUAAUACCGCAUACGUCCUACGGGAGAAAGCAGGGGAUCACUUGUGACCUUGCGCUAAUAGAUGAGCCUAGGUCGGAUUAGCUAGUUGGUGGGGUAAAGGCCUACCAAGGCGACGAUCUGUAGCGGGUCUGAGAGGAUGAUCCGCCACACUGGGACUGAGACACGGCCCAGACUCCUAAGGGAGGCAGCAGUGGGGAAGAUUGGACAAUGGGGGGAACCCUGAUCCAGCCAUGCCGCGUGUGUGAAGAAGGCCUUAUGGUUGUAAAGCACUUUAAGCGAGGAGGAGGCUCUUUUGGUUAAUACCCAAGAUGAGUGGACGUUACUCGCAGAAUAAGCACCGGCUAACUCUGUGCCAGCCGCCGCCGUAA